CCUGGUGGCUCAGAGGUUAAAGCGUCUGCCUGGAAUGCAGGAGACCCAGGUUCGAUCCCUGGGUCAGGA
rfam:Ovis aries breed Texel chromosome 2, whole genome shotgun sequence.